rnacentral:ncRNA from 1 species
GGGUGGUAUGUCCCAUCCAAGGCUAAAUAACGUGAGGAGACCGAUAGAUUACAAGUAGUGUGAACGAAAGAUGAAAAGAACUCUAAAACAGAGGGUGAAAAGUUCCUGAACUUGCUUAGGGUUAAGGCUAUUUAUAGUACCCGUCUUGAAACACGGAUUAGGGAGUUUAUCUGUAGUGCGAGUCUUUGCACGUUAACUGUAAAGGCGUAGAGAAAGCAACUGGCGUUUGCAUGGCUACUGAGCAUUACUGAUAGGACCCGAAAGGUGGUGAACUUUGCCUGCACAGGUUGAAGUCAGGGGAAACUCUGAUGGAGGACCGUACGGGUUAUUGAUGUGCAAAUCAUUUUUCUGAUGUAGGUAAAGGUGCGAAAGACUCAUCGAACCACCUAAUAGCUGGUUUCCUCCGAAGUUUCCCUCAGGAUAGCUGUAAUGCAUUUAGUUAAGGGGAGUAGAGAUAUGGGUAGAGGUGCAGGGAGCCUUCGGGUUCUCAACUUAUUUCCAAACUUCGAACCUCCUUGUUAGGCAUUUACCUAACUGGAAAUGCUUAAAUGAAUUAGCGUUACAAGUGGGCUCUGACCGGUAAGCGGUCAUGGCGAAAUGGGAUGAACCAUACGUCUGAAUAAGGUGCCGAAAUGUACUAUCACUGAUACCAUAAAGGGAGUCCAUGUAUUUAGACAGCAGGUCGGUGCCCCUAAAAGCAGGUAUCCGCUAAAGAGUGUGUUAAAACUCACCUGCCGAAUACUAGGGCCCCGAAAAUGAAUGGCGCAUAUAGUACUACCGAUCUCAGACAUCAGUUCUAUUGAACUGAGAGUAGGGGGAUGUGGACAUUUUUGUGAAGGUGCAAUGUGAGUUGGACUGGAAGAAUGUCUAUUACAGAUCCUAAUGAAGUAGCGA